CAGCAGCCGCGGUAAUACGGAGGGAGCUAGCGUUGUUCGGAAUUACUGGGCGUAAAGCGCGCGUAGGCGGUUACUCAAGUCAGAGGUGAAAGCCCGGGGCUCAACCCCGGAACUGCCUUUGAAACUAGGUGACUAGAAUCUUGGAGAGGUCAGUGGAAUUCCGAGUGUAGAGGUGAAAUUCGUAGAUAUUCGGAAGAACACCAGUGGCGAAGGCGACUGACUGGACAAGUAUUGACGCUGAGGUACGAAAGCAUGGGGAGCAAACAGGAUUAGAUACCCGCGUAGUCCCUGUCUCUUAUAC
rnacentral:rRNA from 1 species